rnacentral:siRNA from 1 species
UUUAUGGGACAGAGGGAGUA